AAAGUCAGAAACUAUUUUUAAUCAAUUAAAAAUGAAUAAAAUAACCUAAUUGAGCUAAAAUCUCAAAUAAAUCUCAAAUCAAUUCAAAAAUUGAUGAGAAUAUUUUUCAUAGAUCCAUCAUCAUUCAAAUAGGUUAGGAAAAUAUUUUUGCAUUUUUUGAAGAUCAAAAACUAUUUAAAAUGAAUUAAUAAUAACCAGAAAAGAGAAAAUUCACAAAAAAUAUCAAAUGCCAAAAUAAAAUAAAAAAAAAAUCAGAAAUAGAAACUAGAAU
rnacentral:lncRNA from 1 species